rnacentral:rRNA from 1 species
AGCAGCCGCGGUAAUUCCAGCUCCAAUAGCGUAUAUUAAAGUUGUUGCAGUUAAAAAGCUCGUAGUUGAAUUUCGGGAUCAAUACGUCGGUCGUGCUUUCGGGUACGUACUGGCGUCAUUGGUUUCUCCUUUCUGACGAACCAUGAUGUCAUUUAUUUGGUGUUGUGGGGAAUCAGGACUGUUACUUUGAAAAAAUUAGAGUGUUUAAAGCAGGCUCACGCUUGAAUACAUUAGCAUGGAAUAAUGAAAUAGGACGUUUGAUUCUAUUUUGUUGGUUUCUAGGAUCGACGUAAUGAUUAAUAGGGAUAGUUGGGGGCAUUAGUAUUCAAUUGUCAGAGGUGAAAUUCUUGGAUUUAUUGAAGACUAACUACUGCGAAAGCAUUUGCCAAGGAUGUUUUCAUUAAUCAAGAACGAAAGUUAGGGGAUCGAAGACGAUCAGAUACCGUCGUAGUCUUAACCAUAAACUAUGCCGACUAGGGAUCGGAUGAUGUUAAUUUUUAAUGACUCAUUCGGCGCCUUA